UACGUAGGGACCGAGCGUUGUCCGGAAUCAUUGGGCGUAAAGAGCGUGUAGGCGGCCACUUAAGUCCUGCGUGAAAUCUUGCGGCUCAACCGCAAGCGGUCGUGGGAAACUGGGUGGCUAGAGUGCGGGAGAGGAGAGUGGAAUUCCUGGUGUAGCGGUGGAAUGCGCAGAUAUCAGGAAGAACACCCGUGGCGAAGGCGGCUCUCUGGAACGCAACUGACGCUGAGGAGCGAAAGCGUGGGGAGCAAACAGG
rnacentral:rRNA from 1 species